CUUGGCAGUUGAGAUUCAGACCUUGACAGUUGUAACCGAUAGACUGGGCUGGGGCAACGCUGAUGAAAGGCAAAUUCCUGAGAGAAAAAUCACCCAGAUUUUUCAGUGCCUUCUCUAGCUUUCUAGAAGUUGUUAUGAGUGGACCUGACUACCUAGAGAGAGUAAUACAGAAGCUCCGUGCCGAUCACAGCUACCUCAUUACCAUGUUCCUCCAAGAUGGCCGCCCCUGAGGAGAAUCAUCAACUGGGCUUUACGGAAGAGAGAAAUCCAAACGACCAUCAGCAACAAAUGAAAGACUGAAGUUGAAAGGAAAUCCAUAAUUUUUGAAUGCUGGCCGAGGUCUGUGACCUCUGACUGAAUGGUUUCCAAGCUCCGAAUUCCUAGGUGAUGUUUUCAUUUGUUCACACUUGCUGAAGAAGGGAAAGGCUCUCUGAUUUACGUGUAAGCAAAACAAUCUAAACAGUAGGAUAAAAUCAUGUUGGAAUGGAGUUCUGUGUGGAUGCUCCUUUGAACCAAAUCAGUUCCACAACUGACCCUGUCAGGGACAUAUAAAUUUAGCAUUUUGGUGUGGAUACAGAAGACGAGAUUAACACAGAUCAAGUAACAUGGAAAUAAAAAAGGAGACAAUGCUGGAUGAUACAGGGGCAGCCAACAAGAGGAGAAAACCCAAGCAUUGGCAAAUGCCUCAUUAUCCAAAGAACACUGAGGUGUGGAGCAAAACUGUGUUGAAUGAACUGUAGAUGGAAAUUCUCUCCUUCCCACCGAGGAGCCGCUGCAGGUUGCAGACUCCCAGAAUGCCACACUGAGAAGAGGAGGGCUAAAAUUCUAGAGCAGAAUCCCUGGGGCAGCCCCUGCUGAAGAAGGGUGCAUCUGUUGAGAAUCUCAUCACCGCCCCCACCCCGCCCAGCCUUCAAUUUAGAGGAAUUUCUAGUUCACGCAGAAUGAAGACAAGAUCACAUAAGUGAGGACGACGCCCCAUUUACAAGUGUGAUUUGGAAGACUGAAGUGGAAACCUUGGGAAGGGGCCUCAGAGUAUGUCAGCUGGGGUCAGACGGGAACAGGAGUCUGGCUCAACACACAUUUAUUGCACUCCUGUUUCAUGCCAAGAAAUGUACCAAAAUCUGGGACUGUGUAACACAGCAAAGGAAAAGACUCAUCUCCAGGAAGCCCCCUUGUCUAGGAAGAGAAAUUGAAUAUCAGCAUAAGGUGGUGAAAAGCUGUGAAGGAGAUGAGUGCCAGGAGUCCAUGGAGGAAGGAUUCUAGCCUGGACAGAGUCUCCAUGAAUUGCAAGGGAAAACAAGUGGUACACUGGUAUUUCUAUUUGAUAACCUGUUCUCUUUGGAAUUCCGGUUAGAAAUCAAAGGCUUACUUGAGUUUUAAUGCUUUCGGGACUUCAAAUGCUUUUCUAUCUUCCUAAUAAUAUAUUAACAUUUUCUGAAGACAACAUAUAUGUGGAAAACAACAUUAUUUACUCAAAUAAUUUUUUUUGAAAAAUGGACCAAAAAAAAAGAAAAACCAACAAAAACCUUUUCAUGUUGUAUCUCAGACUAGCCCAUGUUGUGUUCCAAAAUUUUUUUGCUG
ensembl:lncRNA LINC01206 long intergenic non-protein coding RNA 1206